rfam:Gossypium arboreum cultivar AKA8401 contig_189_1, whole genome shotgun sequence.
UAUUAAAAAUUUCAUUAAUUUGUACUGUUAAAAAUUGAUGUGAUUAACCGAAUAACCAGAUAGUGACAUAUGGUGUGCCAUAUAGAUGUCAUUUUAACGUACAUAGUCCAAUUUUUAACAAUAGAAAUGGAUAGAAUUUUUAACA